rnacentral:rRNA from 1 species
GAUGAACGCUGGCGGCGUGCUUAACACAUGCAAGUCGAACGGAAAGGCUCCUGCUUGCAGGGGUACUCGAGUGGCGAACGGGUGAGUAACACGUGGGUGAUCUGCCCUGCACUUCGGGAUAAGCCUGGGAAACUGGGUCUCAUACCGGAUAGGACGAUGGUUUGGAUGCCAUUGUGGAGAGUUUUUCGGUGUGGGAUGGGCUCGCGGCCUAUCGGCUUGUUGGUGGGGUAAUGGCCUACCAAGGCGUCGACGGGUAGCCGGCCUGAGAGGGUGUACGGCCACAUUGGGACUGAGAUACGGCGCAGACUCCUACGGGAGGCAGCAGUGGGGAAUAUUGCACAAUGGGCGCAAGCCUGAUGCAGCGACGCCGCGUGGGGGAUGCCGGCCUUCUGGUUGUAAACUCCUUUCGCUAGGGACGAAGCGCAAGUGACGGUACCUGGAGAAGAAGCACCGGCUAACUACGUG